UCUCCGUAGGUGAACCUGCGGAGGGAUCAUUACAGAGUUCAUGCCCUACCGGGUAGAUCUCCCACCCUAUGUUAUUAUUACUUUGUUGCUUUGGCGGGCCGUUAGGCUCCGGCCCGACUACCGACCCCAGCUGGUAAGCGCCCGCCAGAGGACCCAAAACCCUGAAUAUUAGUAUCGUCUGAGUACUAUAUAAUAGUUAAAACUUUCAACAACGGAUCUCUUGGUUCUG
rnacentral:misc_RNA from 1 species